rnacentral:rRNA from 1 species
UCAACAAUGGAUCUCUCGGCUUACGCAUCGAUGAAGAACGCAGCGAAUCGCGAUAUGUAAUGUGAUCUGCAU